rnacentral:rRNA from 1 species
GAUGAACGCUAGCGGCAGGCUUAACACAUGCAAGUCGAGGGGUAGAGGUUGCUUGCAACCUUGAGACCGGCGCACGGGUGCGUAACGCGUAUGCAACCUACCUUUUACAGAGGGAUAGCCCAGAGAAAUUUGGAUUAAUACCUCAUAGUAUAUAACCUUCGCAUGUUGGUUAUAUUAAAGUUCCAACGGUAAAAGAUGGUCAUGAGUCCUAUUAGCUAGAUGGUAAGGUAACGGCUUACCAUGGCAACGAUAGGUAGGGGUCUUGAGAGGGAGAUCCACCACACUGGUACUGAGACACGGACCAGACUCCUACGGGAGGCAGCAGUGAGGAAUAUUGGACAAUGGGCGCAAGCCUGAUCCAGCCAUGCCGCGUGCAGGAAGAAGCAUCUAUGGUGUGUAAACUGCUUUUGUACAGGAAGAAACACCCCGACGUGUCGGGGCUUGACGGUACUGUAAGAAUAAGGAUCGGCUAACUCCGUGCCAGCAGCCGCAGUAA